GAGGGUCCUGGUAGGAACCCUGCCUUCCUUCGUGUGAGGCUGGCUCUUCUGCACUGCCCUGCAGCUCUCAUGCAUAAGAAGAAAUCUAAUUACUGCCAGCUUCCCGAGGAUGAACAGGUACUACCAAGGACAUCACUGGCUUGUGCAAGCUGAUGCAAACUAGUUCCAGUCCAGUGCAGAAGUAUCCAAGUCCAGUCCUGGAGAAGCUCCGUUCAACCUUUCCUCCCUGGCCUGUGCAUGCUGUAUCAGAGCAGAAAGCAGAAAGCAGAAAGCAAGGAACGGAAAAUGAAGUAGAAAUUUUUGGUUUCUUUGGAGACUCAGUUGUGUCAUGUGAUGUUUUUCCAGAAACUGUCUUAUGAGUGGGAAGAUGCUUUGCUGAGAACAGACACGUGGUUUUUUUUUUCUGGAAACUGCCUGGAUAAAGGGCAUGUGCUGUUUUGCUAGAGUGGAUGCUUGACAGAACAUAUGAUAUUUGGAAAGGAUAUAAGUACAACCCCACAGACAGUAGAUGACGACAGUGUGUGGCAUUGGUUCACCUUGCCUUCUUUGCUGAUUAUCAUUUGUCUUGGCUUCAUGAAGAGAAACACACCAAAGAACUUCUCAUGAUAUUUUAGAAGCCACUUCUGCUGAUUCAGACAAAUUGGCAGAGCCUUGAUGUUUCUUCUGGAUUAAACUGCCAUUGCUGAUUC